CCUGUAGUCGAAAAUGUUGUCUCUCUUGAGUGGAUCCUGAGUACGACGGAGCACGUGAAAUUCCGUCGGAAUCUGGGAGGACCAUCUCCUAAGGCUAAAUACUCUCUAGUGACCGAUAGUGAACCAGUACCGUGAGGGAAAGGUGAAAAGCACCCCGGAAGGGGAGUGAAAUAGAACCUGAAACCGUGUGCUUACAAGUAGUCAGAGCCCGUUAAUGGGUGAUGGCGUGCCUUUUGUAGAAUGAACCGGCGAGUUACGAUUUGAUGCAAGGUUAAGCAGUAAAUGUGGAGCCGUAGCGAAAGCGAGUCUGAAUAGGGCGUUUAGUAUUUGGUCGUAGACCCGAAACCAGGUGAUCUACCCUUGGUCAGGUUGAAGUUCAGGUAACACUGAAUGGAGGACCGAACCGACUUACGUUGAAAAGUGAGCGGAUGAACUGAGGGUAGCGGAGAAAUUCCAAUCGAACCUGGAGAUAGCUGGUUCUCUCCGAAAUAGCUUUAGGGCUAGCCUCAAGUGAUGAUUAUUGGAGGUAGAGCACUGUUUGGACGAGGGGCCCCUCUCGGGUUACCGAAUUCAGACAAACUCCGAAUGCCAAUUAAUUUAACUUGGGAGUCAGAACAUGGGUGAUAAGGUCCGUGUUCGAAAGGGAAACAGCCCAGACCACCAGCUAAGGUCCCAAAAUAUAUGUUAAGUGGAAAAGGAUGUGGCGUUGCCCAGACAACUAGGAUGUUGGCUUAGAAGCAGCCAUCAUUUAAAGAGUGCGUAAUAGCUCACUAGUCGAGUGACACUGCGCCGAAAAUGUACCGGGGCUAAACAUAUUACCGAAGCUGUGGAUUGUCCUUUGGACAAUGGUAGGAGAGCGUUCUAAGGGCGUUGAAGCAUGAUCGUAAGGACAUGUGGAGCGCUUAGAA
rnacentral:rRNA from 1 species